UCGUUUCUAGUUUGUGCAAUAACUUGUGAAUUAUGUUUAGUUGAUCCGCAACAGUGUGAAAGUUUGAAGUCAACCAUUCAAGACCUGAUAAAGAAGAACAACUCGUUUCUAGUUUGUGCAAUAACUUGUGAAUUAUGUUUAGUUGAUCCGCAACAGUGUGAAAGUUUGAAGUCAACCAUUCAAGACCUGAUAAAUCAAGGAAUUCUUUUGAUAGACCGACCCUCUACACUCAAAUAUGUGUCCACUCUAGAAAUACCAUACGAUGAAGUUCCCUCUCUGCAAAUUUCAUAUGACCUAUCUCAAUUAACUCUCUUAGCAAAU
rnacentral:lncRNA from 1 species